CAGCCGCCCCCCAGCACACUUGUGCUCCAGACCCUGCCCCAGCCCCGCUGCCCUUCUCUGGACACGCUCCAGCCCCUCCAGGCCCUUCUUGUCCCGAGGGGCCCAAAUAUUCUAUGAUUCUGUGAUUCUGUAGCCUGCCGUUCCCCAGCACAAAGCGUUAGGUAGCUCCUGAGACACAGGGUGUUUUCCCCUUUGUGACCGCGUGGUUUGCAUCUCGUGUUGCUGAACGCGUUACGGGAGGAUGUUUCACCUGUGAGACCUGCACGAGGUCUCCUCCCGCACAGCGUGUCACCGGUAAGCCUCUCGGAGGGAGGUCGGUAGACGCGCGGUGUAACAGUCCUGCUGAGCGCCAGUCCCAGAACGUUUUGGCAGAGUCUUCCCAGGCCCAGUGGCCGCAAGUGCCAGUGAAGGCUUAUCUUCAGCAGUUUUUAUGAAUCCAAAGUCGAGGCCGUUUGGGCCUCGGGGUAAAAUCCAGACGUUCUCACUUGGGGUGUGAUUUAUCCCGCUCCGGCGGGUGCCAGCUUCUCAGUUCUUUUUCAGGCAGAGUUCCCAUUUAGCUCAACAGGAGGCUUAGCUGAAUCAACAAGAUGAAUAUUUGGCCGAUAGUUAGGUCAGGCAAAUCUGGACAAAUAAUCCUCAUUUGCACAUAAACCUGGCAGGCAUGGGCACUUGGCUAGUGCCUCCACUCCAGUCGCCGUCAGACCCGAGCACUGCCCAGCCUCCCGAGCCUGCGCUCGGACGAGCCGCGUCCACAGAGAAGAAUUUCAGUGUUGAUAGAUGGAUGCCAGCUCCUUACCUCAGAAAUGUACAGAGUCUGAAAAGUAUGUUCAUAGCGGACUUUUGUUAAAGGAUACAAUCUGCAGAAGUGAAAAAUCCAUCUUAAAAAACUUCCUGUAUUAACCAGCUCAUGUUCAGUUACCCAAGAAAGCUGAAGCCCGUAUUGUCCUCGUCCAUCAAGACAAACGCUAAAGACUGAUGACAGGUUAUGGAGGAUUUUAAUGAGUUCAGUGCCUUUUUCUUUCAUUAUUUAAUCUUCACUUUUUAAAUAUAAGUCUAUCUUCUGGUUGUUUCAGCGGCUAGUUCAAAUGUUAAUAGGAAAAGAUAAUCUAGCAUCUUGGCAAGGCUCUGCUGGUAGUGUGCCUGCUUUAUUGAACCACAGAUGGAAACGUUUAAAUUCAGCAUGAUUUUCUCAUCCCAAUGUUUUGUCCCAAUUAAAACUUAGUGGUUCAGACAAGGUUAGGAGAUGUAAAGAAGGUAGUGUCUGCACUUAACUAAUGCCAACUAAUGUCGCAUUACUUGCUGCUCUGCUCUCUUACCGAUUCAUUUCACCAAAUUCUACCCAUUUGGUUUGUUUUAAAAGCGCUGAGCCUGCAAGGUACAGAAUUACCUUUAAUAAUUUAAUAUGGGAUUUGAGAAAUUUUAGGAUUCCCCUUGAGGAUACAAAGAAUGGUUUAUAUCCUUUGGAAUAGGUUGUUCCAGGAUGGUCAGAUGGGGUGCUUCAUGUAGUAGAUACGCUGUGAAACCACAGACCCCGGGCUAGCUCGUCGCACUCAGCGCAAGGUCAGUCUGGUGGCCGCUCGCAUGGAAUUGGAUCCAAAUUUUCUAAAUUGAGGCCUCAAAACCAAUCUCUGAAAACCAUAUGGAUGCCCUGUUCAUCACCCUCCUGUGAGCACUUGGCGUGGUUCCCCAGGGGAAGCCCCGUCCUGCAGGUCCCCUGUUACGGGGCUGGGGUGUGCCCAUGCGCCCAGCGGUGAAGCCCCGUUUCUCCACCGGGGAGGAGCAGCCAGGACCCGGCUCGUGGCGCUGAACGCCGAGCCCUCCACGGUUAGGCCAGUUUUUUAAUGCCACCCGUCGGAUAAACACCCGCGCGUGUUCCCGUGGCUGCCUCUCCGUGAAGGCUGCCUGUUCCCACGCGCUCCUCUGCUCUCGCCUGCAGAGGGUCGGGCUGGGUGGCGCCCAGAGAAGUCCAUCACCUGGUGUAAAGGCAAGGUUAACUCCUGUCUGACAGAUAGGUCUGACCUGUCCUUUAAAACUCCAGCUGGAGGGAAAUGACACAAUCUCCCAUGAACACCUUGUCAGUGCUUUGCUAACUUUAUGAUUAGAAAAGGGGCCAUGAUGUCAGGCUUAUUUCUUCUUCCCUUUAAUGCACUUUAUUAUUACUAUUCUAUUGACAAUAGACAUGAAAGACAGCUUAUUCCCUUCCUUUUGGUAGCAGCCUCUUACAUAAUGGUGAACUCAUUCUCAUUUCCCCCGUCAUUCUUCUCUUUUCUUGGAAAAACCUGUUUGACUAUCCACUGCAAUCCCAAAUCCCCUUCUACGACGCGCUGCCGAGCCCCUGGUUACAUAUCCUGCCUAUAGGCAUUGACAUUUCUUCUUUAAAAUAGCGCUGUGCGCUGCACUGAAUUCUGUCUUAGCAAUUCAGAUAAUUUCUCCAAUUUAUGUAGAUCAAUUUGAACUCUAAUCCCAUCUCCACAGUGAUUGCAGUGCCUUCCACUUCUUUAUCAUCUUUAAAUUUCAUCCUCCAAGUCGAUUAAAACGGCGAAUGGUGCAGAGCGAGGGCGGGGGUGCGUUGCCUGCAUCUAACAGUCGUGCAGUCAUAAUUUUGCGCUCACAUUUCAACCUUUUUAGUAAACUUCUCUGAACCGUGUUUCUUGUAAAUCACCAUAUCACAUCUGCUGCUUCCCCGUCUUUAAUAAGGCCGGUUACCUGUGGAAGAAGAUAACUAGGUUUUCCUAACCUGCUUAUAAUUCCAUGUUGGCUGUUUUGUAUCGGCUCAUUUUUUUCUCUGUAUUUACGGACUGAUUCUUUUAAUUAUUUUCCAGCCUCCUUAGAGGCAUUAACGUUUGUUCCUCACGUCCUCCUUUUAAAAAAAGCUGUAUUUGUCCCUCUGUAACUACAGCGGUUUGGGUCCCAUCCCCGCGCUCGCUGCCCGCGUUCUCGAGGUGAGUGCAGGUGGCUGAGCAAUGCUACAUCCAGUUCCCUGCGAAUCCUCUAGUAUCAUUUAAUAAACCUCCACAGACAUGCAGUUUGCAGAAACUUUUAAGCUUUUAAGGGUUUAAGCGUUUGGUGGCAGCUGGUGUUUUGGAGGGGGCUCACACAAGAAGGGCAUGCUAACCUCCUCAUCAUGCAGCACUUGCGUUCCUCCCCUGCCAGGUAAUGGUCCUAUACUUCGCUUUUACACCUAACAUAUUCAUAAAAACUUUUGUUAGUCUUGUUUGCAGCUUUGUUUAUUGAUCACUUAUUACUCGUCCUUUUACCUCGGCGUAGGCUGCUUAUUUUUCCAUCACCUUUACUAGAAGAACACGCACCAGAUUUUCUCUGAUGGCCUCGGUUACUGUCAUCAACCACUGGGAGGUUAUUUAGAGAAGAAGCUGAAAUAAUCGGGCUGGAAUACUAUAAAAAUAGCGCUCUGUAUUUUAGCCUUCUCCACGCCUUUCAGACAUACAAUCUCACCACUGAGUAUUUUGGGUCUACUUCUGUCUUUAAAUGCAUGCAAAAUAGUGGCUUUGAGCGCCUUUGGAUUGUGCAACACACGAGAAGAGGGUCCUUGUUUCACUUUGGAUUGUUUGUUUGGAGGGAUAUUUGCUCAAUCCUCUGCAAAUCAGGCCACUGAUUUUUAGCAGCCAGCCUUGAGUUAAACAAAUCCGGGAAUUAACUGGCCUGAGUUCAGUUAAUCAAUUGUAAAAAGGGUUUGCUAAUUCCGGAGCUGCAGCGAUCUGCGGAGGAGUACGCGGGGUUUCUUCGAAGGCAGACGGAACUGGCAGAAGGGAAACAGAGCAAAGUCAUUUUUAACAACAGCUGCAGGUAAGCGCUGUGCCACGAGCGGCAUCUGCUUGUGCAAGCUGUCAGUCCGGUGCUUUUCCCAUUAAAAACGCGCACUUCGGUAAAACAAUCAAAUCGCUUAAUUACAUUUGAUUGGAACAAAAGCCCCAGCAGUUGUAUUGUUCUUAAAAGCUAAAGAAUGCAAAGGGACCUGUGAAUAUAACCUUACGUGGAAGAAGAACGCCCUGGGUAUGGAUUUCGGUAGCAACGAUUCAGUAACGAGAACAUCUGCUUGAUUAGCUGAAAUAGGCUUUAAUGUUUUCUCUGGCUAUUUUAUCCUCUCCUGGAAUUCUAUACUCUAAAUCCUUUUAUCUGAACCAGAUGUACUUAACUAUCGCGUAAUGGUAGGUUUGAUCCGGAGGUUGAGAAUUCACAGUUUUAUAUGUCAGUAACAGCUCUGAGAGACGCAGAUGUUUCAUGUUAAUUUCAGUAUCUCUUAGACUGUGUUUAUUUAUUCACGUGUUUACACAACCAAGAUAACGAUUCGGAUGCCAUGGGGUAGUUUAUUUCUGUUCAUUUAUUUGAUGUUCAAAUACAUAACCUGCUUUAAAUCUCAGGGUUUGCGGGGAGGGUUUUGGUUUUUGUGUUUUUUUUUUUUUUAAUUGAACAGGCCUCUCUUCACUCGUGAAUCUCUGGCGAUUUCACUGUCAUGUCUGAAUAAAGCAUCAGAAUUAAAUUUUAAAUAUGCAUAUUGACAAAAGACAAGAUGAUCAUAAUUAUAAAUGAUUGAUUGGUCCAAGCCCACAUCAUUGGAUUAAUUCUUCACUCCUUCGCACACCGUUAAUUUGGAAUAAAUUUGCAGCAAUCAAGUGAUCUUAACUCGUGGGACCGGGAGUGAAUGUAGAGCUUAAAUUUGAAAAUGAUCCUCCUGUCUACAUACUGGCUGGUGAGAGUUUUCCCACCCAGUAAUUGCUUCCAUUAAUAGGCUCAAGCUCUCACGCAAGGACGGAGGAUACGGGGCAGCCUGGCCCGUGUGCUGCGGAGGUGCUUUUAGAGCGGAUCACUUAAACUUACACGUGCAUGGAAUGGGAUUACAUUUUCCACAUUACUCCUAUCAAUGCUUGUAAGGUUUGUUGCAAAUAUGCAGCGAUUUAUUUAGAGAAUGCCAGGAGGGAAUAAAGCCACAGAAGGUCUCAGAGUUUCAGAGUGAGGUAAAUAGUGGGUUGCAAUAUAUUUAACAAAUGAUCAUGAAAAACACAGGAAAGGAGAGAGGAAAAACACAUUCCCUGGCUAUGAAGUUGUUUAAAUAUAAGAGUCAGGAGCACUGUUCAGUCGGGAGCGCUUCCUUGGCUUUUCCCCUGCCUAAAUAAAUCAUCACAGCGUACGCAGGGGACGUGGCGAUACGCAGCAAGUUCUACCCUGCAAGCCCCUCGCCGCCCUCCCCUGCCACGGCACCGAGCCCUGCACGAUGCCAGGCUGGAGCGUGGUCCCGGCGUGGUGUGCGGAGCCUUGGUGGGACGCCCCCGGCUCCAUGGGGCACCCCCGGCUCCAUGGGGCACCCCCGGCUCAGUGGGAUGCCCCCGGCUCGGUGGGAUGCCCCCGGCUCGGUGGGACGUUCCUGGCUCUGUGGGAUGCCCCCGGCUCGGUGGGAUGCCCCCGGCUCCAUGGGGCACCCCUGUCUCCGUGGGACACCCCCGGCUCCGUGGGGUGCCCCCGGCUCGGUGGGAUGCCCCCGGCUCCGUGGGACGCCCCCGGCUCGGUGGGAUGCCCCCAGCUCCAUGGGGCACCCCCGGCUCCGUGGGGCACCCCCGGCUCGGUGGGAUGCCCCCGGCUCGGUGGGAUGCCCCCGGCUCCGUGGGGUGCCCCCGGCUCCGUGGGGCACCCCCGGCUUGGUGGGGCACCCCCGGCUUGGUGGGGCACCCCCGGCUCGGUGGGAUGCCCCCGGCUCCGUGGGAUGCCCCCGGCUCCGUGGGGUGCCCCCGGCUCCAUGGGGCACCCCCGGCUUGGUGGGGCACCCCCGGCUCGGUGGGAUGCCCCUGGCUCGGUGGGAUGCCCCCGUCUCCGUGGGGUGCCCCCGGCUCCAUGGGGCGCCCCCGGCUGGCGGCCCAGCGGCGCAGGGGGAUGCAGCGGAGCCCGCAGUGACCCCACGGCCCCGGGGAGCCGCACAGCUCGCACAAAGCAGAUCAAGCCUCCCGGUAAGACACAGCGAGGGCCUCCCUUUCCCUCUGAGUGCAACGGGCUCCGAGGCACAUUUCUGCCUCCUGCCUGCCUGUACGCAGGAUGCAGAGGAUAAAUGGCCAAAAAAACCCCAAACCCCAACAAAAAAAACACCUCUUGGUUCUUUGUACUUUGUGCACAGGAUCUUUCAGUUAGUUGUACAAGACAUCCAAAAUUUUACUUUGUGAAAAAAAAUAGAUUGGUUUAAUUAGGGAAUGUGGGACAAAAAGAGUAACACCUCUUCUGUUUGUGUACACACAAAACCAUCUAUUUUUCUUUUAAGUUCCUUUUAUUUGGGGUUGAGAAAUGGAUGACAAAAGGAGGAAGGGCUGGGUCGUCUCCUGGCAUCACAGUCAAACUGGAAGUUUUCCCAUAAAUUGCAAGAAAAUUUUCCUGCAGGCAGAGCUGCAGAGGGGACACGUUUUGGGUUCAAGUCGAGGCCUAGCACGUUUAGCCAGUUGUCGUUUCUUUUUUAGGCCAGCGUGAGGGUUUCGUAGCGACGCGCUCGGCCUGUGGGCAGACAGGUGGGCUCGCGGGGAGUCGGCGCCCGGGGGCGAAUUCACGCGACGCGGAGCCCGCGCUGCGGCUCGUCCACAGCCACGCAAAGCCUCACUGCAAAGCCUCGCUCGCAGGGCAGCAACCCAAACCAAACCAGCGAAGUGGAAGAACAGAAUGUUAAUUUUCCAUUAAAUCAAAGCGGGGCUGUGAGCAGAUUCUCUGUUGCAGAUUUCAGAUAAGCAGCAAGAAAAAAUUGGGAAAAGGGGAGCAGGCAAAGUUAAAAGUUCUUAAACUAUUGAUUGUCAAUGAAAUCUGCCUUGGUGUGUGUGACUUGUGCUCAGAUAGCACCCUUUAUUAUGAGCUGCUUAUCAGCCCACCUUUCCAGUCCAAACUGGGAACGCACUGGGGGGCUUUCCCAGCCCGCUGGCGCCUGUAGGGACCAGCCUGGAGCACCGGCGGAGAUGCGGGGGGCGCAGGAGCGUGUGCUGCCCGGGGGGGUGCGGCGUGGGGGCUUUCGCCCCCCCACCUCCCUCUCCGCCCGCUCCCCCAGUGCAGAGCGGCUCGCAAGGCAGGGGCUUUGCCCCCAGCUGCAGCAGCAUCUGCCAGCUCUCGAAACAUCGACGCUCCUGGCUCUGCCGGUCGUAGCCGGUGCCUACGAGCACGGUGUUAUUUCACCUCAGCCUCUCUCGGGGCUGCCUUUUCCUCGGGCCGGGGUGACCCCCUCCCCCCUGCCCCCCCCGGGGCCCACGGGAGCGAGGGGCUGUAACUAAGGUUAUAUGCAGCUGCGUGGAGAGGGGGCGAGGAGGAAGAGCUGGCAGGGAGCGACGAAAACAAUGAUUUCCAGUUGAAUCACAGAAGCAGUAAAACCUGCCAUCAGCCUAACUUUUGUAACUGUUAUGUAGUCAUAGGGAAUAGUCCUUAUUCUCAAAUAAUAAGUGUUAUUAAAGUAUUUUAUCUCCGUCAUGAAUUAUAUAUUAAUGUGGUAAGUAUUCAUCAUCUAUUAAAAUGAUCCCAUUUUGAGUAACAUGAAAAUAUUCAAAUCGGAUUAUUUCAGAUCAUGCUUUUAAAAGCAAGGAAGACUUUCCUGUUUUUUCAUUAAAAUAUAUCCUGGCAAGACCGUACAGUACCUGCAACUCCCAGCCAGAAAUAUGUGUCACGUUGACAUUAAAAAUAUUGGUGUUCAAUAGUACAGUAAUUCUGCUGCACAAUACUUCAUUCUUACCCAUGAAUCCAGCUCUGGAUGAGAAAAACUAAUUUUACUGACCUGGAGAGUCUCACUGGCUGAAACUUAGCGGCGUUUCAUAUUCUGGUGACCCCGGUGGGCUUCAAAUACUGGAGGUAAGAAACAAAAGGUCUUUAAAAUUCUAUGGCCCCUUUCCUUGCCAGUGCAGAGCUAUUGAGCUAUUCCCUUCUGUGCAAAACCCAGGGUACUCUUAAACAUGCUAAUGACUUCCCACCGCGUUGCUGAGAGGAGGCGAUGCAUCCCUAAACAGAGCAGGGAUCUUCCUUAAGUGACGACGAGUUCCCCUUCCACCACGGCACCUGACAGCAUCUUAAAUGUACAUUGGAGAAAUACAACAGCGGGUUGUGCCUGGCUGCUACAGCCUGCGACUAAUCGGCUUUGCUGAUUUGGGGGGAUUUUUGCUCCUAUUUCUUUCUGCGUGUUUUGUCCGUAUAAGCGAGCCUGCCUGCCCUUUGUGCGCGCAGCAUUUCUGAGGAGAUACUGAUGUUUUCGUGCUGUACGUCGCUCUGAGGCAGCCGCAGUCAGCUCGCCCCCGGCUUCUACCUCCAGCGUGUGUGUUUGCUUGUUUUCACUCUGGAUAGCUAAGCAGAUGAUUGAAUAACUGCGGAGGCCAUUUCUUGUUCCUUCAUUAUUUUCACAGCAAAUACAGGCAGAAUUCUAGACCCCGGAGAAAAUACAGCUAAGCUAAAUUUUGAAAUUGUAAAGUGCUGGCAACAGCUAGAUAAUGCUCAUUAAAAACAUCAAGCUGGAGCUCUGAAACCUCUCGUCAGUUUACACAGUAAUUCGGCUGGAAGUAUGUUCUAUGGGAGUUUUUUUCCAUGGAAACCUGAAGUGUAAUCCCCCAAACAACUCACUUCGCUCUAAUGUAUAUGGGCUUGAUGUUUAGAUACCACCCGGCUAUGUUAGUCUGGUUGCUAUGGUCCUGUUUUCUUUUUCCUAUAACCUUUGAUUAAUACACUAACCAUCGCAAGAAGUUGGAGGACUGCUCUGUGAACAUGCCGUAUGGAGCGCGCUGGGUAGAGAUGGGCCUGCUAGAUGCAGAAACGCCGCUAGUCUCUUCCAAGAAACUCUGGCAGUAUAAACAGCCUUGGCCUGUGCUUGUACAGCAUCUCAAUCCCCUCCGCGCCGCUGCCAAGAUUUCUCACUGCAGAUUUUCUUUCACCCGUCAUCCCCACCCCAUCACUCGGUGCCGGAGCCUGCUCGCAGCCCGGCCGGGUUGCCUGGGAUGUGCAGCACAUCCAGCCCUCCCGGCUCCAGCCCCUCGCAAGCCGGGAUGACCGCGGCUCGCCGCUCGGUGCGGGCGGCUUACGCAACGCGCGCGUGGCGGGCUCGGAGCCGGGUCACGCAGUGCAAAAAGCCGACGUCUGUACCCAGCUCGGGCCUUUGCAGCUUUUUUCUAUUAUCAUCAAGUUCCUUUUCUUUGCAGCCCGCAGCUAAGCAGAGUGGCAAAUCUUCAGAUGAUACCCCUUGGCAAGAGUGUUGACUUUCAAGCACAAGAGUAACCCAGGAAUGCAACGCUUGAGGGAGCUCAGAAAGCCGACAGAGCUUCAUGGAUUGUAAUUCUGCUCCAGUUCUCUCUUGCUAUGAAAUGCCUUUUCCCUUUUUACCAGUCUCAGUCAAUCCAGUUUACAAAAAUGUUGGUUAAUUAUUAUCAUCUCUGUAUCGCAGAGGGAGAAACCGAGACAUGGAGAAGCAGAAUGGUGUGUCUGGAAGACACUCAGCAGGCAAAGCAGAUCCGCAGUCUAGGUCCCCAGGUCUGCUGAGAAAAUAAAACCAGAACAAAAGCGUAUCUUUGCUUUUUGCUCAUUAAUCUACACCAUUAUCAGCAACUUAUGUGUAUCGCUCUCUGAACCAGUAAACUAUUUUUAACUGCUGUA